UCGAACCUGCCGCAGGUUCGGGUCGAACGCAGUGAGACAACGGAGCCGUUUACGGCGACGGCCCGAAGGGCGAGCAAAGCGAGUCAUCCUGCACGACCCACCA
rnacentral:sRNA from 1 species